rnacentral:rRNA from 1 species
UACAGAGGGUGCAAGCGUUGUUCGGAAUCACUGGGCGUAAAGCGCGUGUAGGCGGUUUCCUAAGUCAGGUGUGAAAUCCCCCGGCUUAACCGGGGAAGUGCGCCUGAAACUGGGAGGCUUGAGUAUCGGAGAGGAAAGGGGAAUUCCCGGUGUAGAGGUGAAAUUCGUAGAGAUUGGGUGGAACACCAGUGGCGAAGGCGCCUGUCUGGCUGACAACUGACGCUGAGACUCGAAAGCAUGGGGAGCAAACAGG